rnacentral:rRNA from 1 species
AGAGUUUGAUCCUGGCUCAGGACGAACGCUGGCGGCGUGCUUAACACAUGCAAGUCGAACGGAACUUUCGGGUUCAGUGGCGAACGGGUGAGUAACGCGUAAGCAACCUGCCUUUUUGUUGGGGACAACAGUUCGAAAGGACUGCUAAUACCGAAUGUUAUAUCUUAGCCGCAUGGUUUUGAUAUUAAAGAUUUAUCGCAAAAAGAGGGGCUUGCGUCCGAUUAGCUUGUUGGUAGGGUAACGGCUUACCAAGGCGACGAUCGGUAACCGGUCUGAGAGGAUGAACGGUCACAUUGGAACUGAGACACGGUCCAGACUCCUACGGGAGGCAGCAGUGGGGAAUAUUCCACAAUGGGGGAAACCCUGAUGGAGCGACGCCGCGUGAGUGAGGAAGGGCAUUUUGCUCGUAAAGCUCUUUUGACCUUGACGAAUGACUAAUCCGUUUAGUAGAGACGUAAAGUU